UCUUUGCACAGCGCUGAGUCAAGGCGAGGGUAGGGGUUAGGAGUUUCUGCUCUGAAAAGUCAUUGCUAAGGGUCCUGGUUGGAGGAGGAGGGCUCAUCCACGCACCUAACAGGUUUGCCUCAACUCCACCUCAGGUUCGUCUCUAAAAAAAUAAUAAUAAGAAAGCCUGCUACAUAUCAGAACGGCCUCCGUUCACCAGACGUCGAUCAAAGCAUUGGUAUCCCAAAGAGCAGGCGAGUUACGCUCUCCUCAGCAGAGCUCUGCCACCCUGCAAGUGCUCAACACCGUAUCGGAGAAGGAGCUGUGCGACACCGAAGUGGCACAAGAAAAAAGCCUGUCAGCAUAAUUCAACAGAGGGAAAAUGGAGCACUUCAGGAUUUGCAAGUCCUAAUGAAAACGUCCCUCUUUCAGGAGAAAGCCAAUGUCAAAAGGUAUCUUCAGUCAUUCCCAGGGUGCCUGAAGCUGGUUUUUACAUUUUGGAAGAAACUGCUCCAAAGAGAAGCUUGUUUUUUCUUAUAUAAUACUUUCACACUGUGGAAGCAAUGUUGAGUGCCCUAGUACACAAGGCACACAAGCUAGCUAAACGGGCAGUAUAAAGUACUAAGCAAGGCCCAAACUAUUGCAGGAAAACAUUCUGAAUCAAAGGUAGGCGACUUCUGCAGUACUGGAAUGGAUCUUGUGAAGCAUUUCCUUUUAAGCCAAGUUAAUCAAAACCAGCUCCAGAUCUCUUUCUCAAGACCAGCCCAACCCUCAUGGAAACUUGCUUUCUUCUAGCAUAAAAAAAGAUGCUUAUACUUGCUGCAUAAAAUGCAACAUUGCUAGUUUAUCAGAGUUCAAAUAAAUCAUCACAGGUAGAUUAACUUUCAUUCAAA